rnacentral:rRNA from 2 species
GAACUGGUGAGUAACACGUGGGUAACCUGCCCCGAAGCGGGGGAUAACAUUUGGAAACAAGUGCUAAUACCGCAUAAUUAGUUGGAACCGCAUGGUUCCAACUUGAAAGAUGGCUCUGCUAUCACUUUGGGAUGGACCCGCGCCGUAUUAGUUAGUUGGUGAGAUAAAAGCCCACCAAGACGAUGAUACGUAGCCGACCUGAGAGGGUAAUCGGCCACAUUGGGACUGAGACACGGCCCAGACUCCUACGGGAGGCAGCAGUAGGGAAUCUUCCACAAUGGACGAAAGUCUGAUGGAGCAACGCCGCGUGAGUGAUGAAGGUUUUCGGAUCGUAAAACUCUGUUGUUAAAGAAGAACAAGUGUUAGAGUAACUGUUAACACUUUGACGGUAUUUAACCAGAAAGCCACGGCUAACUACGUGCCAGCAGCCGCGGUAAUACGUAGGUGGCAAGCGUUGUCCGGAUUUAUUGGGCGUAAAGCGAGCGCAGGCGGUUUUGUAAGUCUGCUGUGAAAGCCCUCAGCUCAACUGAGGAAGUGCAGUGGAAACUACAAAACUUGAGUACAGAAGAGGAAAGUGGAACUCCAUGUGUAGCGGUGAAAUGCGUAGAUAUAUGGAAGAACACCAGUGGCGAAGGCGGCUUUCUGGUCUGUUACUGACGCUGAGGCUCGAAAGCAUGGGUAGCGAACAGGAUUAGAUACCCUGGUAGUCCAUGCCGUAAACGAUGAAUACUAGGUGUUGGAGGGUUUCCGCCCUUCAGUGCCGCAGCUAACGCAUUAAGUAUUCCGCCUGGGGAGUACGACCGCAAGGUUGAAACUCAAAGGAAUUGACGGGGGCCCGCACAAGUGGUGGAGCAUGUGGUUUAAUUCGAUGCUACGCGAAGAACCUUACCAGCUCUUGACAUCUUCUGCCAACCCAAGAGAUUGGGCGUUCCCUUCGGGGACAGAAUGACAGGUGGUGCAUGGUUGUCGUCAGCUCGUGUCGUGAGAUGUUGGGUUAAGUCCCGCAACGAGCGCAACCCUUAUUAUUAGUUGCCAGCAUUUAGUUGGGCACUCUAGUGAGACUGCCGGUGAUAAACCGGAGGAAGGUGGGGACGACGUCAAAUCAUCAUGCCCCUUAUGAGCUGGGCUACACACGUGCUACAAUGGAUGGUACAACGAGUCGCGAAACCGCGAGGUCAAGCUAAUCUCUUAAAGCCAUUCUCAGUUCGGAUUGCAGGCUGCAACUCGCCUGCAUGAAG